AGAGUUUGAUCCUGGCUNAGAUUGAACGCUGGCGGCAUGCCUUACACAUGCAAGUCGAACGGCAGCACGGACUUCGGUCUGGUGGCGAGUGGCGAACGGGUGAGUAAUGUAUCGGAACGUACCUUUCAGUGGGGGAUAACGUAGCGAAAGUUACGCUAAUACCGCAUAUUCUGUGAGCAGGAAAGCAGGGGAUCGCAAGACCUUGCGCUGAUUGAGCGGCCGAUAUCAGAUUAGCUAGUUGGUGGGGUAAAGGCCUACCAAGGCUACGAUCUGUAGCGGGUCUGAGAGGAUGAUCCGCCACACUGGAACUGAGACACGGUCCAGACUCCUACGGGAGGCAGCAGUGGGGAAUUUUGGACAAUGGGGGCAACCCUGAUCCAGCCAUGCCGCGUGAGUGAAGAAGGCCUUCGGGUUGUAAAGCUCUUUCGGCCGGGAAGAAAUCGCAUAGGCUAAUACCCUGUGUGGAUGACGGUACCGGAAUAAGAAGCACCGGCUAACUACGUGCCAGCAGCCGCGGUAAUACGUAGGGUGCGAGCGUUAAUCGGAAUUACUGGGCGUAAAGCGUGCGCAGGCGGUUUAGUAAGACAGGCGUGAAAUCCCCGGGCUCAACCUGGGAACUGCGCUUGUGACUGCUAAGCUAGAGUACGGCAGAGGGGGGUGGAAUUCCACGUGUAGCAGUGAAAUGCGUAGAGAUGUGGAGGAACACCGAUGGCGAAGGCAGCCCCCUGGGCCGAUACUGACGCUCAUGC
rnacentral:rRNA from 1 species